AGUGAACGCUGGCGGCAGGCCUAACACAUGCAAGUCGAACGGCAGCACAGGAGAGCUUGCUCUCUGGGUGGCGAGUGGCGGACGGGUGAGGAAUGCGUCGGAAUCUGCCUAUUUGUGGGGGAUAACGUAGGGAAACUUACGCUAAUACCGCAUACGACCUACGGGUGAAAGUGGGGGACCGCAAGGCCUCACGCAGAUAG
rnacentral:rRNA from 2 species